GUGGGGAAUAUUGGACAAUGGGCGAAAGCCUGAUCCAGCCACGCCGCGUGUGUGAUGAAGGCCCUCGGGUCGUAAAGCACUGUGGAGAGGGACGAACAAGCAUCGGGAACAAUACCUCGGUGCCCUGACGGUACCUCUUUAGCAAGCACCGGCUAACUCCGUGCCAGCAGCCGCGGUAAUACGGAGGGUGCAAACGUUGCUCGGAAUCAUUGGGCGUAAAGCGCGUGUAGGCGGCGCGUUAAGUCGAGUGUGAAAGCCCUGGGCUUAACCCAGGAAGCGCGCUCGAAACUGGCGUGCUAGAGUACGGGAGAGGGUAGCGGAAUUCCCGGUGUAGAGGUGAAAUUCGUAGAUAUCGGGAGGAACACCAGUGGCGAAGGCGGCUAUCUGGACCGAUACUGACGCUGAGACGCGAAAGCGUGGGUAGCAAACAGGAUUAGAAACCCCUGUAGUCC
rnacentral:rRNA from 1 species